GAUGAACGCUAGCGAUAGGCUUAACACAUGCAAGUCGAGGGGCAUCACGAAUUAGCAAUAGUUUGGUGGCGACCGGCGCACGGGUGCGUAACACGUAUACAACCUACCUUCAAUUGGGGAAUAACCUGGAGAAAUUCGGACUAAUAUCCCAUAGCAAACGGAAGAGGCAUCUUUUUUGUUUAAAGAUUUAUUGAUUGGAGAUGGGUAUGCGUAGGAUUAGCUAGUUGGUAAGGUAACGGCUUACCAAGGCGACGAUCCUUAGGGGUUCUGAGAGGAAGGUCCCCACACUGGUACUGAGACACGGACCAGACUCCUACGGGAGGCAGCAGUGAGGAAUAUUGGUCAAUGGUCGAGAGACUGAACCAGCCAAGUCGCGUGAAGGAAGACGGCUCUAUGAGUUGUAAACUUCUUUUGUACAGGAGUAAAGUGAGACACGCGUGUUUUAUUGCAAGUACUGUACGAAUAAGCAUCGGCUAACUCCGUGCCAGCAGCCGCGGUAAAGA
rnacentral:rRNA from 1 species